rnacentral:rRNA from 1 species
GAAAGCCUGACGGAGCAACGCCGCGUGAGGGAUGGAGGCCUUUGGGCUGUAAACCUCUUUUCUCAAGGAAGAAGAUCUGACGGUACUUGAGGAAUAAGCCACGGCUAAUUCCGUGCCAGCAGCCGCGGUAAUACGGGAGUGGCAAGCGUUAUCCGGAAUUAUUGGGCGUAAAGCGUCCGCAGGCGGCCGUUUAAGUCUGUUGUUAAAUCGUGGAGCUCAACUCCAUCACGGCAAUGGAAACUGUUCGGCUUGAGUAUGGUAGGGGCAGAGGGAAUUUCCGGUGUAGCGGUGAAAUGCGUAGAUAUCGGGAAGAACACCAGUGGCAAAAGCGCUCUGCUGGGCCAUUACUGACGCUCAUGGACGAAAGCCAGGGGAGCGAAAGGGAUUAGAUACCCCUGUAGUCCUGGCCGUAAACGAUGAACACUAGAUGUUGGGGGAAUCGACCCCCUCGGUGUCGUAGCUAACGCGUUAAGUGUUCCGCCUGGGGAGUACGCACGCAAGUGUGAAACUCAAAGGAAUUGACGGGGGCCCGCACAAGCGGUGGAGUAUGUGGUUUAAUUCGAUGCAACGCGAAGAACCUUACCAAGGCUUGACAUCCUGCGAAUCUCCAAGAAAUUGGAGAGUGCCUUCGGGAAUGCAGUGACAGGUGGUGCAUGGCUGUCGUCAGCUCGUGUCGUCAGAUGUUGGGUUAAGUCCCGCAACGAGCGCAACCCACGUUUUUAGUUGCCAGCAUUCAGUUGGGCACUCUAGAAAGACUGCCGGUGACAAACCGGAGGAAGGUGUGGACGACGUCAAGUCAUCAUGCCCCUUACGCCUUGGGCUACACACGUACUACAAUGCUGCGGACAAAGAGUAGCGAUCUUGCGAAAGUUAGCUAAUCUCAUAAACCGCGGCUCAGUUCAGAUCGUAGGCUGCAACUCGCCUACGUGAAGGAGGAAUCGCUAGUAAUCGCAGGUCAGCAUACUGCGGUGAAUACGUUCCCGGGCCUUGUACACACCGCCCGUCACACCAUGGAAGUUGGCC